UUUUGCUAAUGUUUUGGUAAGUUAGUCAUCAGUGUGGUGCUCGCAGAAUAGGCUGGUAAAUAAAUCAUGGGAAGAAAAAAGAAGAAGCAGAUGAAGCCCUGGUGUUGGUACUGUAACAGGGAUUUUGAUGAUGAAAAGAUUCUCAUUCAGCAUCAGAAGGCCAAACACUUUAAGUGUCACAUAUGUCACAAGAAGUUAUACACUGGUCCUGGUCUGGCCAUCCACUGUAUGCAGGUUCACAAAGAAACCAUUGAUGGUGUCCCUAAUGCAAUACCGGGAAGGACUGACAUAGAGCUGGAGAUCUAUGGAAUGGAGGGUAUUCCAGAGAAAGACGUGGAGGAGAGGAGACGUGUGCUUGAACAAAAAACACAGGAAAAUCAAAAGAAAAAACAGCAAGAUGACUCGGAUGAAGAUGACUCAGAUGAAGAGGCUGGUCCCUCCUUCCAGCAGCCAGCAACAACUGUACAGCCUCAGGCAGCCUAUGCCCCUAUGACCCAACCAGGAAUGGCCCCUGUCCCAGCUCCAGGGAUGCCACCUGGAAGCUACUCAGGAAUGCCCCCAAUGAUGCCUGGUGUCCCCCCGAUGAUGCCAGGGAUGCCUCCUGUCAUGCGCGGAAUGCCUCCAGGCAUGAUGCCAAUGAGUGGGAUGAUGCCACCUACCCAUGGAAUGCCCCCAAUGAUGCCAGGCAUGCCACCAGGAUUACCUCCUCACAUGGGUCAUCACCCUGGCAUACUCCACAUGGCUCAGGCCCCUCCUACUACCACCCGGCCAGCUGUGUCUGCCACCACAGUGUCCACGCCACAGCCGAGUGUCUCCAAGCCACUGUUUCCCAGUGCAGGACAGAUGGGGACUCGAGCUCCAAGCACAAGCUCAGGCUCCUCCAGUCUGGACAAUUUGUCAGCAUCCUCUAAACCGCUGUCCCAAGUCCAGCAGGCUGGUUCUAGUCUAGCGGUGAGCUCCUCUGCACCACCUUCUGCUGCUCCCAAACCAACAUUCCCAGCUUACACCCAGUCCUCCGCCACUGCUGCGGCCAACACGAGCAGCACUGUGGCCAAACCGGGCACCCCAGUCACAAGUAAGCCUGCCACCCUCACCACCACCAGUGCAACCAGUAAGUUGAUCCACCCUGAUGAAGAUAUAUCACUGGAGGAGUUGCGAGCACAGCUGUCUCGCUACCAGUGUAAAAUCCCUAGUGCAGGACAGGCCCACGUAACUUCCCCACCAGUUGCACCAAUGGGAGGUGUGUUGCCCCCUCAGCAGGGCAUUCCUGUACAACAGCCGGGUGUUAGGCAUCCCAUGCAAGGGCCAUACGGUGCUCCGCCGCAUGGAGUGCCUGGGUACAUCCCAGGAGGAAUGCCUCCUUACGGUCAAGCCCCACCCAUGGUCCCCCCCUUCCAGGCCGCUCCCCCUCGGCCCGCCAUUGGCAUGAGACCCCCUGUAAUGUCUCCUGGAGGCCGAUAUUGAAGCGUCACUACUGGUCUUCAUUAGGUUUGGUGAUUCAACCAUUUUACCAUCUAGUGGCGUGCUUUACAAUCCAGAUCAGUAACCGUAACCCUUCUUGCAAUGAGGAGAUGGAGUAAUCAAACUAUAGCGCAUGGGACAUUUAAUUUUGUCAAGUCUAUUAUUUGGACCUACCCUUUGUUGCAGAUCAUACAGUCUGGCUUUUUUCUCAUGUUUUGUUUAGGUUUUUAGAAGUGAAGUGUAGUAAAUAUGGUUCGUAUUAAUUUGAAGCGGCUGGAGUUUCGUACAGCACCUUUAUCAAGGCAAGUCACUGUAAAUAUACUACUGUACUAAAAGUGUGAAGCCUUCGCAGCACCCAUAGGUGCUGUUGGGCGUCCUGUCCCCAGCGUUGCUUGGUGAGGGCUUCAGAUAGCUGUCACUGUUGGAUUUAUUUUUCUAUGUCUGCUUGUCUACAAUUACAGUGUUCUCUCUGUAGGGCCAAUAACAAAAGGACUCCUGUGAAUGCUAUCUGUACUGUUCCACUAUGAAUUGUAAUAAACUAUUGAAAUCUAACGGCUGUUUUUUCAUUAGCAAGUAAAGGACAACCUCACAAGCUAUGCCAUGGGACUGGCUGAGGCAGAGUCUCAGUGUUGCCCUGCACAGGCUGAGGCAAGUCUCAUAUUUUCUCUCUUUACUCUGUGUAUUCAGGGUAGAGGUCUUCACGGGUCCACUUGGAUCCGGAAAACCCGAGCGGGUUCGGGUCCAAAACUCAAAGUACCUCGGACACGGGUCGGGUUCGGUAUUAGCGGUCUCGGGGAAUUUAAAAUAAACAUGCUUUUUCCAGAUGGACCCGAUUAGACCCCAAUUCUUCUAUCCAUUCUAUCCCGAAUGCGUAGGCUACUUUCACUUUCGUGUUAAGUGAGGAACGCACAAAAAAGGAGCAUACGUUUGUAACCUCACACACAGAAAUCAUCUUAUAGAUAUGAGAUCCAUCAGGAAAAUCCACUCGCUUCAUUAUGCUGCGUGUUCAUACAGGGCUUUUCUUUUUUGUGUGCAGAAGCUUUCGCCAGAGAUCAGGUUGCAGACAACACUAGCUAUCCAUGAAUUAUUAGGCUAUCGACUUAUUUGUUUUAUCAAACUAUCACGUUUAUUUUUCAAAUCCACUGGUCACAAUUGAAAGCCGAGCUCAGAAAUAACUUGUAUCAUGCAGGCACUAAUAUAAAGUAGCCUAAUAAUAAAUUGAAUAAAUGUUAAAUAAAUCAAAGUAAUGGAGAAGCGGCCAAAGCAGUGAGCAGGACACCGGGAUUUUUCCUGAUUGACUGCGGUGGAGCUGCAGGCUGUACACACGUCAAUACCGUUUGCAUUGGGGUCCAGUCGGGUUCGAAAUUAAAUGCCGUCAGACUUGGGUCGGGUUUUUCUUAAAAAAAAAUUUGAUUUAUGCACGUCGGGUUUGGGUAAGAAGUGAUUCGGUUUGGGUACAGAUUUUAGGACCCGAGAAGACCUCUAAUUCAGGGGGCCUCAGCCAUUUGGAGCAAGUUUGGUGAUGGCCCCCGGGUUUAUUAAUAUCUCUUAACUAACUCAUAGUUUUAGCUAACAUGUUAAAAAUACACACACGCUUCAAAAGUUUGAGGUCAGUAAGAUUUGUAAUGUUUAUUCAGCAAAG